UUGAACGCUGGCGGCAGGCCUCACACCUGCCAGUCGAGCGGAUGAAGGGAGCUUGCUCCUGGAUUCAGCGGCGGACGGGUGAGUAAUGCCUAGGAAUCUGCCUGGUAGUGGGGGAUAACGUCCGGAAACGGGCGCUAAUACCGCAUACGUCCUGAGGGAGAAAGUGGGGGAUCUUCGGACCUCACGCUAUCAGAUGAGCCUAGGUCGGAUUAGCUAGUUGGUGGGGUAAAGGCCUACCAAGGCGACGAUCCGUAACUGGUCUGAGAGGAUGAUCAGUCACACUGGAACUGAGACACGGUCCAGACUCCUACGGGAGGCAGCAGUGGGGAAUAUUGGACAAUGGGCGAAAGCCUGAUCCAGCCAUGCCGCGUGUGUGAAGAAGGUCUUCGGAUUGUAAAGCACUUUAAGUUGGGAGGAAGGGCAGUAAGUUAAUACCUUGCUGUUUUGACGUUACCAACAGAAUAAGCACCGGCUAACUUCGUG
rnacentral:rRNA from 1 species